rnacentral:rRNA from 1 species
UACGGAGGAUGCAAGCGUUAUCCGGAAUGAUUGGGCGUAAAGCGUCCGCAGGUGGCAAUGUAAGUCUGCUGUUAAAGAGUGAGGCUCAACCUCAUAAGAGCAGUGGAAACUACAUAGCUAGAGUGCGUUCGGGGCAAAGGGAAUUCCUGGUGUAGCGGUGAAAUGCGUAGAGAUCAGGAAGAACACCGGUGGCGAAAGCGCUUUGCUAGGCCGCAACUGACACUGAGGGACGAAAGCUAGGGGAGCGAAUGGG